UGUAUUCACUACUGUUAGUCACUCUGGAUAAGAGCGUCUGCUAAAUGACUAAAA
rfam:Salmo salar isolate Sally breed double haploid chromosome ssa01, whole genome shotgun sequence.